rnacentral:rRNA from 1 species
AUUGAACGCUGGCGGCAUGCCUUACACAUGCAAGUCGAACGGCAGCGGACCUUCGGGUGCCGGCGAGUGGCGAACGGGUGAGUAAUAUAUCGGAACGUACCUUUCAGUGGGGGGAUAACGUAGCGAAAGUUACGCUAAUACCGCAUAUUCUGUGAGCAGGAAAGCAGGGGAUCGCAAGACCUUGCGCUGAUUGAGCGGCCGAUAUCAGAUUAGCUAGUUGGUGAGGUAAAGGCUCACCAAGGCGACGAUCUGUAGCGGGUCUGAGAGGAUGAUCCGCCACACUGGAACUGAGACACGGUCCAGACUCCUACGGGAGGCAGCAGUGGGGAAUUUUGGACAAUGGGCGCAAGCCUGAUCCAGCCAUGCCGCGUGAAGGACGAAGGCGCUCAGCGUUGUAAACUUCUUUUGGAUGGGGAUAAUAAUCUCGAUUUAUCGGGACUUGAAGGUACCAUCAGAAUAAGCACCGGCUAACUCCGUGCCAG